rnacentral:rRNA from 1 species
UACGAAGGGGGCUAGCGUUGUUCGGAUUUACUGGGCGUAAAGCGCGCGUAGGCGGAUCGUUAAGUCGGGGGUGAAAUCCUGGAGCUCAACUCCAGGACUGCCUUCGAUACUGGCGAUCUUGAGUCCGGAAGAGGUGAGUGGAACUCCUAGUGUAGAGGUGGAAUUCGUAGAUAUUAGGAAGAACACCAGUGGCGAAGGCGGCUCACUGGUCCGGUACUGACGCUGAGGUGCGAAAGCGUGGGGAGCAACAGGG